GUCUACUGCCAUACCACCCUGAACGCACCCGAUCUCUUCUGAUCUUGGAAGCUAAGCAGGGCCAUGCCUGGUUAGUAUUUGGAUGGGAGAAAUCUAACUAAUGUAGGUG
rnacentral:rRNA from 1 species